rnacentral:lncRNA from 1 species
GAGUGUGGGGCGUAGGCCUUGCUGACAAGAUAUGUAUAUUUUUAAGUGGUAGCAAGCACCUGCACAGUGUGUGUAUCUCAUGCAAGGUUCUUGGAUUGAAGUUCGAGAUAUAAUGAGUUGUUUUUCUUCAUUUAUUUCAUCUACAAGGACGUUUAAUUCCUCCGAAAAGUUGGGGUUUCUGUUUUUGAGGUUGUGUCUACUAAGUUCGUAAGUUGGAAACUUGUUAAUCCAUCUUCUUAUAGAGAUUUUCCUGUGUUCUUGGAAUUUUUUUUAUUGUUAUGAACCUUUUGUACAUUUUAU